rnacentral:rRNA from 1 species
GAUGAACGCUAGCGGCAGGCCUAACACAUGCAAGUCGAGGGGUAUUAGGAGCUUGCUCCUAAGAGACCGGCGCACGGGUGCGUAACGCGUAUGCAAUCUACCUUGUACAGGGGAAUAGCCCAGAGAAAUUUGGAUUAAUGCCCCAUAGUAUAAUUGAAUCGCAUGGUUUAAUUAUUAAAGUUCCAACGGUACAAGAUGAGCAUGCGUCCCAUUAGUUAGUUGGUAAGGUAACGGCUUACCAAGACAAUGAUGGGUAGGGUCCUGAGAGGGAGAUCCCCCACACUGGUACUGAGACACGGACCAGACUCCUACGGGAGGCAGCAGUGAGGAAUAUUGGUCAAUGGUCGCAAGACUGAACCAGCCAUGCCGCGUGCAGGAAGACGGUCCUAUGGAUUGUAAACUGCUUUUAUACAGGAAGAAACCCUCCCACGUGUGGGAGCUUGACGGUACUGUAGGAAUAAGGAUCGGCUAACUCCGUGCCAGCAGCCGCGGU